AUUGAACGCUGGCGGAAUGCUUUACACAUGCAAGUCGAGCGGCAGCGCGGCCUUCGGGCUGGCGGCGAGCGGCGAACGGGUGAGUAAUGCAUCGGAACAUGCCCAGUCAUGGGGGAUAACACUUCGAAAGAAGUGCUAAUACCGCAUACGUCCUGAGGGGGAAAGCGGGGGAUCGCAAGACCUCGCGCGAUUGGAGUGGCCGAUGUCAGAUUAGCUAGUUGGUGGGGUAAAGGCCUACCAAGGCGACGAUCUGUAGCUGGUCUGAGAGGAUGAUCAGCCACACUGGGACUGAGACACGGCCCAGACUCCUACGGGAGGCAGCAGUGGGGAAUUUUGGACAAUGGGGGCAACCCUGAUCCAGCCAUUCCGCGUGAGUGAAGAAGGCCUUCGGGUUGUAAAGCUCUUUCGGCAGGAACGAAACGGUGGGCUCUAACAUAGUCCGCUAAUGACGGUACCUGAAGAAGAAGCACCGGCUAACUACGUG
rnacentral:rRNA from 1 species